AUGCUCAAUGAGCGCACCUCAUGGACAAUCACGGGCGUCUAUGGCCCGCAGGGCGAGCAAGACAAGUUGGCCUUCAUUGAGGAGCUUAGGACUCUCAAGACCGUGGCCAGAAGCGAGUGGCUCCUCCUGGGGGAUUUCAACCUCAUCACUAAAGCGGUGGAUAAGAGCAACGCCAACAUCAAUGUACGCCUUGUGGGAAAGUUCCAUGGGGCUCUUGAUUUCUUGCAGCUAAAGGAGCUUCACCUAGGCGGGCGCCGUUUCACCUGGUCAAAUGCGCAGGCCAACCCGGUCCUUACCAAGAUUGACCACGUGUUCCACUCCGACGAUUGGGACAUGCUCUUCCCCAAUGCGCACCUUCAGGCCAUCACCACAGCUUGCUCGGAUCAUGCUCCGUUAUAUCUUCAGGGGUGCGUCGACAACUCAAGAAAGCCUUCCUUUAAAUUCGAGGAAUUCUGGCUUCGUCUCCCGGGCUUCAAUGACACCGUUUCCUUGGCUUGGAGCAAACCUGUCCAGGCCCGGGAUGCCAUCCGCAAGAUUCAUAUCAAGCUCUGUCGGACUGUGAAGGCCCUGCGCAAGUGGCAAAAGGAAAAAAGUCGGGAUGCUCGACUCCCAGAUCGCGGUGGCCAAGGAGAUCAUCUGACGCCUGGAUGUUGCUGA
rnacentral:rRNA from 1 species